CUCGCGCUGGCCUCUCCGGGCGCUCGACUCCUUUCUCUCGGCGGGGGUGGGCCGACGCCUGCAUCGCCGUGACAUCACCUCCAUUCAGGCGCUUAUCGGGCGCCCGCGGGGCUCCAGGUGCGGGCUGUCCGCUCACAGGACUCUGAUUUUAGGAAGUUCUCCAAGUGAUUGUUGUGUCUAAUAGAAUUUGAGAGCCACUGAAAUACAAAUCUGUCUUGGAGACAAGCAAAUACUUCCCAGGAACAUAAGCGAUGAGCAGAACUGGGGCUCAGGAGUGGAGAAGCAGAUGACUGGAGAGUAAAUGAUCGCAGAGCUGCCUGAUUAAAUGCACGCCCUCCUGGGAGCUGAGUUUUCUUGGGGAGUGAAGUGAGGAGAGUGCGUUAAGGCGUGGAGCCCUUGGGGGGAUGAUGUUGUCAUGACGGGCAUUGGCCUGACCCAUAAACUGAAGCCCCUGGACUCUUGCCUGUUGAAAGAUGAGGAUCCCAGAGGUGGGAAGGGAGCAGAAGGCAAGAAAAUGUGAGCCAGCCCCCAAAGAAAUACUUUUCAGGGCUUCCUUUCCCUGGAGAUCAGAGGCAGUUAUGGUUGAAUUAUUUUCUGUUGGUGUCUGGUCUUGCCCCUUCUUGUAAACAGGGGAGAAUGGAAUCUGACUUCGUGUUGGAUCCAUUUCUUUCACUUUACUUUUGCUCUCGAUGGCUUUUGUUAGAUAGGAUGCUGUCUAUAGCUGUCACCAUACAUAAUGGCCUGCCUGGGGAGCCCUGCCCACCUGUGAAUGACUGCAGAAAAGAAGAAAUUAACACAUCCUGUCCCCGAUGCUGACCAAGCCAGCAGAUAUUCUGCAAGACUUACAGCCUGUUUACUUCCUCAUCUCCUCCCCCUCUCUGUUUUAUAAAAGAAACUGGCAUCAAAGACUCCGAUAAGAUGGUACUCUAGGACACGAAUCUGCCAUCUUCUCGGAUGCCUGGCUUUCUGAAUAAAGUCGAAUGGAUUCGCUAUUUCUUGCCUCAACACCUCAUCUCCUGCCCUGAGCUUGGAUUCAGUAACAUUCUCACCUAGACUCCUCCUUUUGGACCUGGUAGAGCUUCAGAGAAAAAGCAAGCAGCUCAAGUGAAGGCCUUGGAUGCUGUCAUGGGACAUCUUAGGUCAAAGUGAAAGAGAGGAGGAAAGAGUCCUAUCAUUGGAACUUCCUCAUGGAUUCCAGUGGAUUCUAGAUUCUGGCCACAGACUUUGUGUCUAACGUUUCCCAGAGGCUGCUUCUACUCCAGAACCUUCUCUCCUGACUUCCCCACACAUCUCCGCAGCCCACGUCUCCUCCCUCUGUUUCUGAAGCCACUGUGUCUCUAAAAAUUGUCUCCUGGCAGAGUCCCGGCGCCCCUCAAGAAACACAGCUCAGUCCCUCAUUCCUGGGCUCACCGACUCUGAAGCCAAACCCACCGCUGGUCAACGUGCAAGAAAAACGCCAGGAGGGAAGGGCUUUCCCGUCACAGCCCUGCCUCUGAUUAGUCUCCUCCAGCAAAUCCCUUCAGGACCCUUUCUGCCCUAGCCUCCUGAUUCCUCAGGCACGUGUCUUCAGAUACACGCUGGAUAAGUGUGUGCAAGAGGCAGGGUGUAAAGGAAACCGAGUCAGUCUCUGCCUUCAGACACGCAUAAUCUAAUCAAUGAGAUCAAUGACAACAGUCACUGAGAUGCGGGGUGAUAGUCACAGAAGUGCACCAGGACCUUGGGGAUGAAGCCAGGGGACUCCACGGAUGCUGGGGACGAGGGUGCGGGAAUCCAGGAGAGAGUAAGAGAAGAGGUGAGAUCUGAGCUGGACUGGGAACAAUGAAAGGAAUGCAAGGGCAGGAUGGAAAGGAAUUCCAAGCAUGAGAGGAGACCUGGAGGCUGUGGGGUCUUGGUGGGUUCAGAAAGCAACAAGUAACCCCUUGUGGCUCAGGCACCCGCUGACGGCUCCUGGGAGAGGAUCCCUCCUUGACUCUUAUUUUUAUUUAUUUUUCUUUCUUCCCUUUCCUUUUAUAGCUCCGGGGGGCUCCAGGCACUCCUUGGCUGGUGACAGCCUCAUUCUAGUCUCUGACUCUGGCUUCACAUGACCUGACUCUCUGUGUCUUCUUUUCUGUCUCUUAGAAGGACACUUGUCACUGGAUGGAGGGCCUAUCCCAAUUCAGGAUGAUCUCGUUUCAAGAUCUUUAUCUUUUUUUUCCUGCCCAUUCGGUAGGGCUUCCGAGGUCUCAGUUACCCAACCAGGGAUUGAACUCUGGUCACGGCAGAGUGAAAGCACCAAGUCGGAACCACUGGACCUCUAGGGGACUCCCUCAAGAUGUUUAUCUUAAUUAAAUCUGCAAAGAUCCUUAUUCCAAAAGUUCCAAAUGGACGUAUCUAUUUUUUUUUUUCCAGUAGAGGAGAAGGGGAGAGAUAAAUGCCAUUCAACCCACUAACUCCCCCAGCCCCAACCCCACCGGUUCUGGUUAUCUGUUGCUAUGCAGCAAAUAACCCCUAAAUAUAGUGACUUCAAGCAACAAGCAUCUCCUGUGUUUCUUCUGGGUUAGGAAUUCAGGAAGGGCUUGUCUGGGCAGUUCCCCCUCUGUGGGCUGGUUUGGGCUUCCUCACAGCAUGGCUGCCGGGGGAGGUCAGUGCAUUCAUGCAGAGUGAGGCAGAGAGCUUGUGGUUUGUAACUUAGUUUCCAGCAUUACAGGGGCCGCUUCCUCCUGCUCUGCCAUUCACAAAUGCUCGCCCUCUCCCCGGGGUCACAGCAGCUCUCUGCAGAAGAGAGAGAGCAUUCCCCUUCACAGAGAGAUAGGCUGAGCAAGGUAAGCAACUGCCACAUUGUUACAACCAAGGAUGUGCGAGCAGGCUAAGUCAGCUUCAGUCCUGUCUGACUCUUUGCGAACCCAUGGACUGUAGCAAACCAGGCUCCUCUGUCCAUGGGAUUCUCCAGGCAAGAAUACCAGAGUGGGCUGCCAUUCCCUUCUUCAGGGGAUCUACCUGACCCAGGGAUGCAGCCCGCAUCUCUUAUGUCUCCUGUAUUUGGCAGGUGGGUUCUUUACCACCAGCGCCACCUGGGCAGUCCAAGGGCAGAACCCAGGAAAGUGACUUCAGGGUCUGUAAUCAUAACAUGAACAGGGAACCUGGGGUCACUUUCUCUUCUCCAGUGUUUUGUUCUUUUGACCUGAGAAGGGCCUGACCCACCCCAGACCGCUAUCCAAAAGGUUCACAGACAAUAACGUGCUGUGCAAAGGCGGCCUGGGGAUGGGCAGUCAGGUGCCCUGGCUCCCAGCCCUGGCCCUGCCACUUCUAUCUGUGUGGUCUUGUGUGUGUUUUCUUGUUCAAUAACAGAAUGAAUCAUGCCAGCCUCUCUCCUUUCACCGUCGUCACGGGUGAAAUGAGGUUCAAUAAGGUAGCUUGCUCGCUAAGCUGUUUAAUGCUCUUCAAAUAAGCAGUGUCGUAUGUCUCUCUGAGCUCUUCAGAGUGCCAUGAACCUCCUAGCUGCUUGACAAAUAUUUGUUGAUUUUAAUGUAAAGGUUUCCUACCAACCCUAGAAAGAGCAGCACCUCCCAUCAACUCAGCCCUGUUCCCAAGGCCAGUUACCACCAAGGGAGCCCAUUGGGUGGGUGGAAUCAUCAGUGAGGGACCGUGGGCUUGGAGUCUGGGUGUUUUGGAGGGGCUUUCUUUUGCCCUGAAGUAGCCAGUGAAUAAGACUGGGUGACUCUUUCAGGGUAUUCCUACCACUGAGAGCUUUGUAAACAAGCUACCCCCAAAUGUAGUAGCUUUAAAGCAGUCUUUUGAUCUCUCAACGUUGUGCGGCUUGACAGGGUUCCGCUGGCCCAUUCUCACUCGACCAUGGGGUGGGGGCCUCUGUGCAGCUGUAAUGAGGGAGCAGCUGGGGCCGCGGUCGUCUGAAGGCCCCCCUGGACGGGAUGUCGGGUGGUCAGGGCCCACCCCCACGUAGCCUCUCUGUCCAGGGGGACGGCCCAGCUUCUUAAGUGGCAGCUCACAGCUCCAAGGGGCUUCCCUGGCGGCUCAGACAGUAAAGACUCGGCCUGCAAAGCAGGAGACCCAGGUUCGAUCCCCGGAGUGGGAAGAUCCCCUGGAGAAGGGCAUGGCAA